rnacentral:rRNA from 1 species
CACGUAGGGUGCGAGCGUUAAUCGGAAUUACUGGGCGUAAAGCGUGCGCAGGCGGUGAUGUAAGACCGAUGUGAAAUCCCCGGGCUUAACCUGGGAACUGCAUUGGUGACUGCAUUGCUGGAGUAUGGCAGAGGGGGGUGGAAUUCCACGUGUAGCAGUGAAAUGCGCAGAUAUCAGGAGGAACACCAAUGGCGAAGGCAGCCAUCUGGACCGACACUGACGCUGAGGCGCGAAAGCGUGGGGAGCAAACAGG